rnacentral:rRNA from 1 species
AGUCGAACGAGGUAGCUUCGGUGUAGCAAUAUAUCGGAGCUUCUAGUGGCGCACGGGUGAGUAACACGUGGGCAACCUGCCCUCGAGCUCGGGAUACCCUCUCGAAAGGGAGGCUAAUACCGGAUACGUUCUUCGGAUCGCAAGGUCUGGAGAGGAAAGGUGGCGAAAGCUGCCGCUCUUGGAGGGGCUCGCGGCCUAUCAGCUAGUUGGUGAGGUCAUGGCUCACCAAGGCGAUGACGGGUAGCUGGUCUGAGAGGACGACCAGCCACACGGGAACUGAGACACGGUCCCGACUCCUACGGGAGGCAGCAGUGGGGAAUUUUCCGCAAUGGGCGAAAGCCUGACGGAGUGACGCCGCGUGGGGGACGAAGGCCUUCGGGUCGUAAACCCCUGUCAGAGGGAAAGAAGGUCGGCGCGGUGAAUAGCCGCGUCGAUUGACGGUACCUUCAGAGGAAGCCCCGGCCAACUCUGUGCCAGCAGCCGCGGUAAGACAGAGGGGGCAAGCGUUGCUCGGAAUCACUGGGCGUAAAGGGCGCGUAGGCGGGAUGGCAAGUCGGUCGUGAAAUCCCUGGGCUCAACUCAGGGGGGUCGGCCGAUACUGCCGUUCUUGAGGGAUGCAGAGGAGACUGGAAUUCCCGGUGUAGCGGUGAAAUGUGUAAAGAUCGGGAGGAACACCGGUGGCGAAGGCGGGUCUCUGGGCAUUCCCUGACGCUUAAGCGCGAAAGCGUGGGGAGCAAACGGGAUUAAAUACCCCGGUAGUCCACGCGGUAAACGAUGACGACUAGUGU